GAGAGAAAAACAUGACUGAGUCAUGGAGGGAAGUAACCUAGAAGAGAAACAGGUUGAAGGAACGUUGUUGAAGUUGAAACUAAAUCAAUGCUGAAGUGUGUGCAGAAUCAUUCAGUUGUGAAAAGGCAACGGACCUGUUUGUAUGGGAAACAUUACUGGUCAUAAGUGGAAAUUAAGUGUAAAUAAAAUAAUAAUAAUAAUAAAAGUAUAUUUUUU